rnacentral:tRNA from 1 species
UCUGAAAUAUAACGGGUAAGCUCAGCUUCCCAAGCUGAUCGCGCGGGUUCGAUUCCCGCUACCCGCUCCA